CACGUAGGCACCAAGCGUUGUCCGGAUUUAUUGGGCGUAAAGAGCUCGUAGGCGGUCUGUCGCGUCGAAUGUGAAAACCCGGGGCUCAACUCCGGGCUUGCAUUCGAUACGGGCAGGCUAGAGUUCGGUAGGGGAGUCUGGAAUUCCUGGUGUAGCGGUGAAAUGCGCAGAUAUCAGGAGGAACACCGGUGGCGAAGGCGGGACUCUGGGCCGAUACUGACGCUGAGGAGCGAAAGCGUGGGGAGCGAACAGG
rnacentral:rRNA from 1 species